rnacentral:rRNA from 1 species
AUUGAACGCUGGCGGCACGCUUAACACAUGCAAGUCGAACGGCAGCGGGGGGAGCUUGCUCCCCGCCGGCGAGUGGCGAACGGGUGAGUAACGCGUAGGGAUCUGCCUGUUAGAGGGGGAUAAGCCGUGGAAACGCGGUCUAAUACCGCAUACGCUCUAAGGAGGAAAGUAUGGGACCGAAAGGCCAUACGCUAACAGAUGAACCUGCGUUAGAUUAGCUAGUUGGUAGGGUAAAGGCCUACCAAGGCGACGAUCUAUAGCUGGUCUGAGAGGAUGACCAGCCACACUGGAACUGAGAUACGGACCAGACUCCUACGGGAGGCAGCAGUGGGGAAUAUUGGACAACGGGGGCAACCCUGAUCCAGCGAUGCCGCGUGUGUGAAGAAGGCCUGAGGGUUGUAAAGCACUUUAGUUGGGGAGGAAAGCCUGAGGAUGAAUAAGCCUUAGGGGAGACGUUACCCAAAGAAUAAGCACCGGCUAACUCUGUGCCAGCAGCCGCGGUAA